AACAGGUUAGCCAUUCAUAAAGACUGUGACAUUUCUUUUAAUUUUUAUUAUGAUUGGGUAAAGCACGCAAUGAAGAAAAGUGAGUAUAUGGAAAUGGGAAAAGAAACCAAGAAAAUAAAUAUCGGAGAUAAAAGACAAACAUAGAAGCAUCAAGUUAUGGUCCUGAGCAAUGGUUUGUUUGCUCCCUGAUGAAGAGUCGUAAGGUCAGGUCACCGUACUAAAGGCUCUGGUCUCCGUGCUGGGCCCUGUUUUCUGCUUCUAUAAGACAGCGACCAGCUGUGAUGACAGAUAGGGACACGGUGACCUCAGCAUUCACAUCUGGCAGGUCUCACGCUCCUGGACUCAUGCGAUUCUCUUGCCUCAGCCUCCCAAGUGCCGAGACUACAGCCUCCCAUUGGUAGAAACCAAGCAGAGGCAAAGUCCCCAGGGGCGCGGGCCUCAGUCACCUCGGCAGCACGGAGCAGGGUGCCGAGGAACCAGGCGGCACAAGCGGAGAUGGCCAGGUCCCCGCCCUCUUCACUCCCGUCCGUGGAGCGCCUGGCAGCUCUUCAGACUAAGCAUCUCCACAAUUGUGCAGUCAUUCUUUUCUAAUGAAAUAAAAC
rnacentral:lncRNA from 1 species